AACGCUAGCUACAGGCUUAACACAUGCAAGUCGAGGGGCAGCAUGAACUUAGCUUGCUAAGUUUGAUGGCGACCGGCGCACGGGUGAGUAACACGUAUCCAACCUGCCGCUUACUCGGGGAUAGCCUUUCGAAAGAAAGAUUAAUACCCGAUGGUAUAAAGAGUUCGCAUGUUCUCUUUAUUAAAGAAUUUCGGUAAGCGAUGGGGAUGCGUUCCAUUAGAUAGUUGGCGGGGUAACGGCCCACCAAGUCUACGAUGGAUAGGGGUUCUGAGAGGAAGGUCCCCCACAUUGGAACUGAGACACGGUCCAAACUCCUACGGGAGGCAGCAGUGAGGAAUAUUGGUCAAUGGGCGCGAGCCUGAACCAGCCAAGUAGCGUGAAGGAUGAAGGUCCUACGGAUUGUAAACUUCUUUUAUAAGGGAAUAAAGUCACCUACGUGUAGGUGUUUGUAUGUACCUUAUGAAUAAGCAUCGGCUAACUCCGUGCCAGCAGCCGCGGUAAUACGGAGGAUGCGAGCGUUAUCCGGAUUUAUUGGGUUUAAAGGGAGCGUAGACGGGUCGUUAAGUCAGCUGUGAAAGUUUGAGGCUCAACCUUAAAAUUGCAGUUGAUACUGGCGUCCUUGAGUACGGUUGAGGCAGGCGGAAUUCGUGGUGUAGCGGUGAAAUGCAUAGAUAUCACGAAGAACUCCGAUUG
rnacentral:rRNA from 1 species